UCUCUGGUGGCUCAGAUGGUAAAGUAUCUGCUUGCAAUGCAGAAGACCCAAGGUUCCAUCCCUGGAUUGGGAA
rfam:TPA: Bos taurus chromosome 29, whole genome shotgun sequence.